CGAGUAAUGAAUUACUGAUAAGUGGCCUCUUUUAGAAGGAAAUUAUUCAAGGGAGCAGGUGAGAGCCUGCAGACAUUCAUCUUCUCAGCUCUACAAAGCUGGCCGGGAGAUGGGGAAAGGAGAGGACACACAGAGACCCCGAGGGAGGAUGGCGACAUGAAGACAGGAGUAGAGACUGGAGUUAUGCUGCUGUGAGCCACAGCUGGAAGAGACAGAGAAGAUCCAUUCUUCCCUGGAGGCUUCCAAAGGUGGCGGGGUCUCUUUUGCCUUGAUUUCAGACUGCCGGCCUGCUGAACUCUGAGAAAGUCGAUUUCGAUUGUUUAAAGCCAAGCAUUUGCGGCACUUUGUUGCAGCAGCCCUAGAAAACAAAUGCAAGCCCGGCUCCCGCCAAAGCAAUAAGGGGUGCCCUGGUUGGAGGUGGGGGGACACCAGUAUCUGAGAAAUUUCGUGGUUGUUGUUUUCAGUAAACCAGGGCUGAUGGUGGUACGAGGCUCACUAAGAUCUGGGACAGGGCAGAAUUUGGGUGGCAUAAAGGCCAUGGGGUGGCAUUUAUGCAUCAGAGGCAAAGUGGACAAUAAACCACUGCCUUGACCAUCUUUUUUUUUUAUUGGUUGCUCAAAACAUUACAAUGAUCUUGACGUAUCAUAUUUCAUACAUUUAGUUCAAGUGGGUUAUGAAUUCUUAUUUUUACCACGUGUACAGAUUGCAGGAUCACAUUGGUUAUACGUCCACGUUUAUACAUACUUGAUGGUGGCCAGUCAGCCAUGCUGUGAAAGAUGGCCAGCUGGCAAGGGAGUUGCUUAACUCAUCUAAUAAAGAAACAGUAAGGAGAAAGAUAACACCAGACCCUCACCUGGUUUCCAGACGGAGGUCAGAUCACACAGCCAGCAUCCAUUGCUACAAGUUCAGAAGAGGGUCCCCUUUAGGCAGGACCAUGAAAUGCUACCACAAGUGUAUAUGAUAAACAUUCCCCUAUCCUUUCAAAGGGACCUCAGGGAGAUUCUCACCUCUCUUUCUCUCUCUCUCUCUCUCUCUUUUUUUUUUGGUCCUGGGGAUUGAAUGCAAGAUCCCAGCACUUUUUAUUUUGAGACAAGGUCUUCCUAAGUUGCUGAGGUUGGCCUUGAACUUGUGAUCCUCCUGACUCUACCUCCCAAGUUUCUGGGAUGAUCGGCAAGUAACAUCACAUCUAGCUAGAGACACCCACAUUUCUAAGGACAUUUAAAUAUAGGAUCUGGUCUACCACUGAUGGCUAAGGGACCAGAUGGCAAGUGGACUUUUGACCCAAACAUGUCCAGUGGGUUCAGGAGUCCGUGGCCUACCCUGUGGUUAUUUCCCCAGUCCCUGAAUGUGUUGAGAUAGAAAUAUGGAGGAGCCAGAAGAACCCUCCCUUUUGGCUCCACAACCUGUGAAUGAAGGGUUAUUAGUGUUGAAUGGGCCAAGUGGAAGGCCCUGAAACUACCCUCCAGCUCAGACAAGAUAAUAAAUGGGAGGAAUUAUUGGCACAUUCUGAAAGAAAUUGUAGAGAUUAGUGCCACCAUUACAAACUUAGAGGAUAUAAAGUGGGUGUCCCCUCCAUGUCCUUGCUCAGCUCACCAUUCUAGCCUGCUAACUCCAGGAUGGUGAUGGCACAUGACCAGGGAUGAACAUCCACUAAACCAGGUGGCAUCCCUGGCUGCAGCUUCCCUGCCAGAUGUGGUCAUUCGAGAAGAGCAGGUCAAACAGCCUCCAGCAUCUGUAGGAGGCAACUGAUCAAGCAAAUGCUCUUUUCCUCCUCCACAGGAAGGAUCAAAAGCGGUCAUCUUGGCUGCUCCCACAUGGUGGGACCCACUUGCUGUCUCACUCCAGGGCUACGCUCAUUCUCUUGUCCUCCCUUUGCAGUCCAAAGGGACCUCAACACACCGCAUGGCAUGGGUUCCCUAUAUUGACAUGCAAAUCGCUCCUGGGAGCACAAGAUGGAAAACAUUGAAUUUUCUAGUAAGACUUGGGUGACCAAGUGGGAGGUAAUCCCACAGAGACCUGGAGACUGCCAUGUUGGUGAUGUUUUUAGGGGUCUAGUGAUCUGGGACAUUGUAGGACACACCUCAAAGGUAAAGGACAAAUUGUGGCAUUGUGUACUUUCUCCCAGUAAGAGAGAGGCACAUGCUCAGUGGGGUUUUUGAGGCAGUAUAUGGCGCAUUUGACCUAUCUGUGGUGUGACUAGAAAUACUACUUGCUUACAGUGGGACCUAAAUCAAAAGAGGGACUCUGCAGGGAGUGUAGUCCCUGGUGGAGGCUGCCCUGGUGCUGGGAUUGUGUGUUGCAGCAGAUCCGAGUCUGGGAGUUCAUGUGGUAGAUAAAGAUGCUGUGAGAAGUCUUCGAAAAAUCACAGACAAGGAAGCCUUGAGCAGAGGUGAGUGGAUGGACAAGGAAGUGGGCACAAAAAGCAUGCGCAUCUCUCGUCUUCCAUUAAACUCCAGAAGCAUCCACGGCAGAAGAGGUUCGCAUCCAUCCGGUAGAAAUGAAGGUUCACUCUGGGAAGGUCCACCUGCCUUUCUCGCCGACCAGCAGAGUGCAGGGGCAGAGGGGCUGUGGUGGCUGGGCUGGAGGCUGUGCAUCUCACCAAGACCCAUCUUGCAAUGGCCACAGCUGAAUACUCAGAGUCAGCAGCAGAGGGUGACAUGGAACCUCAAUAUGACACCAUUCUUUAAGGAGACAAGCUAGUCACUGGUGGCAUAUUGAUUGCUUUAGACCCUUAGCUCUGGAAGGGCAGCAAUUCAUCCUUACUAGGAUGGACUGUCCUCUGGACAUAGAUCUGCCUGCCUUGUCCACAGAGCCUCCACCAUACCAGAUUCUGAGAGUGGACAAAAUACCUGAUUUCCUGGCAUGAUGCACCAUAUAACAUUAUCUCAAAGGUGUACCAAUAGGCACAUGGUCCCGGGACGCACUUGUCUCAUCACACACCCCAACACCCAGAAUCAGCCAGCCCAAGACAAUGGUGUCAUCUCCUAUUAAGGUGAAGUGCUAACUCAGGGACAGCACCCUGUUCUGAGGGUAUGAGCUGAAAUAGUGAACCUUAUGUGAUGCUCUGCCCUCUGUGACUAGGACACACAGAACCCGGAAUGAAGGGGUACAAGUGGGAUCUGCCGUGUCAUCAUCAUUCCUACUGACCCACUUGAGAAAUCUGUGCCUCUUUUCCCAGUAAACACAGGCUCUGCCAGGUUAGAGUGGCUCGAUUCCCAGGUGAUGAAUGCUUCUGCCAGAGGACAAAGUGAAGUUACUACUGAACUAGUCACAACAACUACCUAGACACUGUGGGAUCUUCCUUGGGUGGACCAUCAGGACAAACAACUGAUGGACCCAGGCACACGCAGGAGGAAGGGGUCCGGCCCUCUCAGAGAAAGGCAUUCCCACUGGGAUCUGAGAGAGAAAUCUCCUUCCAACAGGUGAAAAUGGAGCAGAAAAGGAGCUGGAGAGCUACCAUAGGACCAGCAUGGCCACACUCCCUGAGGAGGAGCUGGAGCUAGCGGCUGGCCGGUGGAGAGGUGGAUCGAACUCUCACCUGCCACUGCCCUGCAGAUUCACGGGACUGGAGCAGCUUUUAUCCUGGGGGUUGUUUGCCUCUGGUUUUCCUGCUGAGCUGUAAACCCUGUCUGCUGGGGAUGCGCCCAGUCCCUGGAUGCUAACCGCAAGUUCUCAAAUCCCAAGCCACAGACCUGACCCUCAUCUGAUGAAACAAUCAGCAGUGCUAAAGGCCUUAUUGAUAAACUUUUCCUCCAAGUCCAAGAAUCACAGAGAUCAACUGAGGGAAGUGCCCCUGGCAGAGGAGCCGGGAUGAAUGUGGACUUGGGUCACAUCAGAAUCUGCCUUUUAUUAUGCUGCUAACUGGAGUGGCUUCACACGCGAUCAUUGGAUGUCUUGCCAAGUGGGACACUGUUGCAUGCAAACACGCUUGCACACACACGCUCCCAUGUGCACACACACACGCAGAUACGUAAGGAGGCCCAGAGAUACACAUGCAGCAGAUGCAACAGUAUUUCACACAGAGAGACUUCUGGAUCUCCAGGCCAGCUGGGAAUUUCAGUCCCAAUAAUAGAUGACUGUCCCUGCCCUAACCAGAAAUCAGUUAUUUCAACCUCCAACCCAGAAUAUAAAAACGUUUUCUAAUUUCCUGAGUUGACACACAGCCUCUUGUGCCUCUCCAAAGUUGGGAAACCUAGUGCGUCACUGGGAACCCCAUGUGAUCAUUGUUAUUAAUGACAAUAAUAGCUAUAGAUUUUUGAGUCUAGCUCUGUGCCUCGUACUAUGCUAGUAGUAGACUAUCUCAAAUAAUCCAGCAAGGGGGAAACUCUUAUCUCCAUUUUACAGAAGCUUAUCCUGUGUUUUAGAGAAACUAACCUGCUCCUGCAUUUAGCACGAGGCGGAACUGGGAUUUGAGCCUGGAACUCUUACUCCACCACCCUGGCUCUUGCUAAGUCCUAUUAGCUUGUAUAGGACACGCUUCCUUCUCUGUUCUUCUGUAAGUUCUGCUGAUUGAUCCCUGACUGUAGGUCUGGAGUCUUGCAGAGGUCUCUUCCUGUCCUCUUGUCCCUAUCCUUUGAUGCCCCCUGGAAGUCCUUUUUCAAAUACAGGUCCCCAAGGAAUUCCCCAGAGAUAGUUCCUUCCUCGGUUCAACGCUGUACUUCAAGUGUGCCAUUGGGUUUUUGAGAAGCCACAUCCCAUCACUGCCUGUUUUAAAAAACUACAGUUUUUUUUAUUUGAUUUUAGUUAGCCCAUUUUUUAACAUAAACUGCUGUAAGCUACUUCUGUAGCUGAGAUUUAAAAAUAUGUUUUCAGCUUAUUAUGCCAGCUACUUAUAAGAUUGUUUUGAAGUUCUAGUUUGUCAGCCAGUACAUGAGCUAGGCUUGCAGCUUCCAGACAAACUGGCUGAGCAGGUUUUCUGUGCCCAGCCAAUGAUCAAAACCAGGCCAAGGGUCAAGGUUGACUCUGUUCCAUCUGCUAGAGACCACCUAUCGGUGACACUGAUCUGUGAAGCAUGACUCUGGUUCCAAUGUCAAAUACUGGGUUUCACUGUGAAUUUGGACUAAAACUAGAUUGAUGCCAGGGGUCCCUUCUGAAGAAUUAGAGGGCAAAGUUCAAUUGCAAGCCAGGAAAAAAGGGUAAGGUCAGGGGAGAAAUACUGAAGCUGGGAACCUUGUGCCUUGCCAGAAGGCGAGAGAGGCCGAAGACAAACCCAGGUGUUGGCAUUCAGUCUGCAAACACCAGCAGCUUAAGGAGAAUAUACCAACGAGGGAGUUCAAGACAAGCACCCAGCUUAGGAAUAGGCAGCUUAAAGAGGCAUUUCAGGCAAUGUCCAAACAAAUUCCAGAAGGCUGAAUCCUGAUGGUGUGGGGCUUCUUUUAAAGGUGCAGACUCCCACCCUUUCUGAGCAUGUACUCAGCUAUCUUAAAGGUACCAUGGGCUCAUUCCAAAUGGCUUCUGAUCAACUUUAGAUCUGCCGGUAUGAUUCUAUCAGAUGACAUUAUUUAUCUCUGGUUUCUUCAUUUUG